AUCGCCCACAGCCUGCCCCCUCCCUCGAAACUAGCAAGCCACAGACAACCUAGGGGAUUCAGAAGCAUACAGGAAGAGAGAGACCAGCACACCCAUAUGCACACACCUGCUACAUCAGGUGCUCCCCGUCCCAGCCACCCUCCCCCUCCCCCACUUCAAGCCCCUUUUGCAGCCCCGCCCCGCCCCUACAUUCUCUUUCUCUUCAAUCUCUAGAUUCCCCACAUCCCCGUUUUCUCUUCUCUCCCCUUUCCCUCCAUCUCCGGGACGGCCUCACCACAACAGCAGCAACGCACCCCACCCUCCGCCUCUGCAUUCUCAGUGCGCGAGGCCCAUACACAAUAUCCCUGGAUUUCUCUCUUUCCCACGCCCAUCACCGUUUUCCCCAUUUCCAAACAAACGAAACCCUCCGUUUGUGUUCCGACGAGAUCCCCAGCGCGCUGGCACGCAGCCCCACUGCCAACCCGCCUACCGCCUGCACAGAAGCACACUUGCACACGGCAACCACCACUUAUAGAUCAACGCAUGCAGACACGCAAACACCUCCCGGCCCCCUAGACGCCUCCGCUUCUCCCCUGCAUUUUCUCUACCCCUUCACCCGUACCCGCACGUCGCCGCCAUGGAGCGCCUGCAGCGCGUCGGUGUCCGCACCGGCCCCACCUUCGCCGACGCACCCGCGUCCACGUCGGAGCUACCGAAGCCGACGUUCCAGCCUGGCAGCAGUAUCUACGAGAUGGACUCCAGCGGUAGGCUGCAUCGCUUCCAGUGCGGUCGCGUGCUCGGCCGCGGCGGCUUCGCCAAGUGCUACGAGGUGUCGGACGAGACUGGCACCUACGCGCUCAAGGCCGUUAAUCGUGCGUCGCUGGAGAAGCCCAAGACGCUGCAGAAGCUGCACAGUGAAAUCAGCAUCCACCGCCGCAUGAAGCACAAGCACGUCGUCGAGUUCCUUCGCACGUUCCGCGACCGCUACUACGUGUACAUGCUCUUGGAGAAGUGUGACCACGGGACGCUGAUGGACUUACUCAAAGUGCGCCGUUUCAGCGUGGCGGAGACACAGUACGUGAUGCUGCAGUGCCUGUCGGCGCUGCAGUACAUGCACAGUGAGUGCGUCAUCCACCGCGACCUGAAGCCCGGCAACAUUAUGCUGGACAGAGAGCUCAACGUCAAGAUCGGCGACUUCGGCCUCGCCGCGGAGCUGCAGUACGACGGCGAGCGCAAGCGCACCAUUUGUGGAACGCCCAACUACAUUGCACCCGAGAUCAUCGACCACAAGAGCCACGGUCACAGCUACGAGGUGGACACGUGGUCGCUCGGCGUCAUCCUCUACACGCUGCUGGUGGGUCAGCCUCCGUUCCAGAUGGAGGACGUGGAGUCUACAUACAAGCGCAUCCGCCAGUGCCGCUACGACUUCCCCGCCAGCGUGCCAGACAACGCGCGCGACCUUAUCACCCAGAUCCUGCAGAGCAGCCCGGCCCACCGCCCCACGCUGAUGGACAUCCGCCAGCACUCCUUCUUCUCGUCGUCACCGCCGCCGCCGCUGACGCCACCGGCAUCGUUCGCGUCCUUCGGCCUGCCGGUGCCCGGCGCCGCCGCGCCCGCGACGACGGCGACCGCAUCAGCAGCAGCAGCAACCACAAUCACACGCAGCGCACGCCGCGGGCCGGCGGUGGACAUGCAUCACCCACCGCCGGCGCCGUAUGGUAAGGAGCUGUUAGGUGCCCCAGCACAACGCGAGGUGCUGCGGCCCAUCAACGCCAACGUGCCACCGCCGCCCGGCGCGCCGACAUCGCCGCGCCACCUCGCGAACCUCAGGCAACAGCAGCAGCCCACGCCGGCGCCGACGCUCCCUGGCACCUGCGCGCGUGCGCGCAGCGACACGCCACGCAGUGCCCCUGCGACGGCAGCGGUGCCGCUCUCGGGCCGCUGCCCCGCUUCGUCUCCGCAGCAGCUCCGAAACGAUGACAACGCUGACGAGGACGAGAAGCAGCAGCUGACGGCGCUGCACGACCGCCUGCACCAGACCCUGUGCGGCGACGCGGCCGCCGACGAUGCUGCUGACAACGAGGCGCCGCCGCCGCCGGUGUGGGUUACGCAGUGCGCCGACUUCUCGUCCAAGUACGGCAUGGCGUACCGCCUCAGCACCGGCCAAACCGGCGCGCACUUCAACGACUCCACCAAAAUCGUGUGGGAGCCCAUCACGGACCGUGUGGAGUAUUACGCGCGCGUCAAGAUUGAGAUGCCGGCGCGCGACGGCGGCACCGGUCUCUUUGCGAAGGACGAGCGGCACGUGUUCAGCAUGCACAGCUACCCACCGGAGCUGGAGAAAAAGGUGACACUGACCAAGUACUUCAAGACCUACCUCGGCCGCGUGCAGAGCUCGCCGGACAGGGUGCCGGUGGUGGCGUGCUCACCCUUCCUGCCGGCGGCGCCGCCACGCUGCACCGACCCGCACACGUCCAGUGACUUUGUGUACGUGAAGCGCUGGCUGCGCGUGGACGGCGCGCUCGUGUUCCGGCUAUCAAACAAGACGGUGCAGGUGUGCUUCGAGGACGGCGCCGAGAUCAUCCUGAGCUCGGAGUGGCGCGUGGUGACCUACACGACGCCGUCGGGCCGCCGCCGCACGAUGCCGCUGAACUCGGUGGCCACGGAGUGGGAAGAAGCGGCAGAGCGGCUGCGAAACACCAAGAGCGUACUGUACCAGGUCAUCCGCGACCACUGCCUGUAGAGGACCAGCCACUCGCGCGUUUGAAUCUCUCGCGACGGGUUAGAUUACCCACAAUUCCCCUCUUUGUUUUCGAUAGAUUGCAUUAGAACCCUGACUACGAGGCACAGCUCCGUGCGUGGCAUCUCAGGGUCCAGCACCCCCACUGUGUGAGGAAGCCAGGCGGUCCCUCUAUCCCUGCCAAGUGCAAGAGCCACUUCCGGCGGUCACAGGGCCGAGCGCCUGCGACGUGGCGAAGUCAGGGCGCCUCAUCGCCACCGAUGCCGACGGCCACACCCUCGACGGCGUGGCGUCGGAGCGACCCGAGACCGCGAGCACGCCUGCACCAUCCAUACGAUCGACGAGGCGCCAGCGCGACUCGAGCACAUCCCGCCCCGCCCUCGCCGCCCACCGGUGGAGGGAGCCUGCGCCACCGCGGGAGAUGCACCACGCGGCCACCGGCACAAAUGGGGAGCGGCUGUGAGGCGGCACUGCAAGGCGGGUGGGUGGGGAGGGCUCGAGGCAGAGGCCGUGCUGCGAUGCCCGAGUUGGCGCAGUGCCGCGCCGGCGUGUGUCUACGGCUGCUUCGCGCCACGCGACGGGUGGCCUGUGGCAGGGCAGGGUCGGCGGCUCGAGAGUGGAACGGGACCUCAUGUUGUGUGGCCGAAUGGACAAAAAAAGAUUGCAUUAGAAGCUGUUUUGGUUUGGAUACACGCUCAGACAAAUCCACUGCAUGGCCUACACCGUGACGUGAACGCGCACCUCAAGAAAUUCAGUGAGAGCACAUGCUUGAAAAUCAUUACGAGUGCACACAACCAGCAAAAGGAAACGCAGAAAUAAAAUCUGGAUGACGCGUACAGAAAUGCAACUCGGCUUUCUAGGCAGACACGCUCGGAUCUUCUCUCCCUCUCUAUCGCCGGGUCCACACAAAAG
rnacentral:misc_RNA from 1 species